GGCGUUUUGUUGUAAUGAAGAAUUUGGUCUAGAAAUUUCAUUUCCAUAAUCAUGAUUCAGAUAUCUUGGAUUGUUGUCACUUUAAUAAAAAAUAAUUGAUGAUGUUGAUGUUGAUUUUUUGAUUGGAAGGCUGUGUUAUAUUUUUCCUUUCUUAUUGUUAUUAUUUUUUUUUUUUAAUUUAGAAGCAUUUCACUAUUAUGUGGCUUCCUUUGUUUGAUGACUUCCUUUAUUUGCUUUGCUUAACAUUUGAAUAAUGAAAUAAUUUGAUAUGCUUUGAGUUAAAAUCAUGUUGAUUUGUAAGGUGAA
rnacentral:lncRNA from 1 species